CUAAACUAAAAAUUUUGAAUGUACAGAUGGGGAGGUCAAUCGGACCUAGUCUUCCAAUUUUUUACGGGAGAUUUUAUGAAGCCAAGAAUCAAAGAGGUUGAUGAGUUACUGGCUAAAGGUGUUAAUGUGACGGUCUAUAGCGGUCAAGUGGAUCUUAUUUGUUC